rnacentral:lncRNA from 1 species
GACAAGCCCUGACCUUCUUGUGAUUCUUGGAGACGGAGUUUGCGUGGCGAUGGUUUGUUUACGGUAAAGUCCUUUUACCAGAGUAUGUUGGUGAGAGGAGACCAUUUUUUCAUACUUUCCUAUUUGGAUUCCUAAGGCGCCACCGAAGGUGUACUUUUUUGCAUGGCUAGCGGCAAGGGGAGUGAUCUUGACUGAGAGGAAUUACACUUGUUAGUUGGUGCUAUAUGUGUAAAAGCUCAGGGGAAGAAGUUGAUCAUGUUUUGUUGCAUUGCCCUGUGUCCUCGGCUUUGUGGAGGGCAAUCAUGAAUUUUUUUGGUGUUCAAAGGGUGAUGCCAAGCUCUGUAAAAGAAAUGUUAUAUAGCUGGGCCGGUAUCCUCGGCUUUGUGGAGAGCAAUCCUGAAUCUUUUUAGUGUUCAAUGGGUGAUACCAAGUACUAUAAAGGAGAUGUUACAUGGCUGGGCUGAUUUCCGAAGAAGAAGAAAACAAAAGGCGUGGAAGUUCGUCCCGUUAGCUCUCAUGUGGAUAGUUUGGGAGGAGAGAAAUAU